CCUUUUCAAACUCCCCGACGGUAGAUGGCGCUGAUGGCUUGCUGCACCCCCAAGUUAGCGACAGGGGAAGAGAAACCCUGAAAGACAAUGAGAGAAACUACCACCUAAAGUCUGAUGAUGAAUCUGAGACUAGUCCAACGAAAAGGACUCCGUGUGGAUGAAGACUUUUUCUCAUCUGUUUGACCAAACAGUAGGCUGCCCCUAUCAACGGAUUUGGGCCUCCGCACAACCUACCAGAAUGCAGGGUACAACAUCAAAUGAAUUCCAAUUCUCUGAGAUCUGAGGCACCAGCUUGUGUGGCUGCAUGCGCGGCAUAAUUUUGAUCACUCCUGACAAAAUCUCACUCCAAGGUUUUUUGAAAAGUUGGCAGGUAUGUGAAGACCUUUUCUCGUUUGGCUCUCAUCGGAGGCGGUCGCAUUUUCACUCUCCCCGUCCUUGCCCAUAUCUUUCCUGCUGUGUCUCGUGUCUUGUCUCGUCUCAUCUAUUGAGAGACUCUCUCUGCACUGCUCUCGAAACUUGGAAAUUAUGGAUCUGAUCAACUGGUCACUUAGCGCAAUUGACACCAUUUUCUCGACGAGAAACAAAGGUUCGGGUGAACCUGAAUGCCCUGAUGGAACGUUCGCAGCUGGCUACACGAUGGACGCGUGGGAGAGAUGGCGGAUCGUGUGUCUGGCGGCUCUUUCUGUGGAGGACAUUGAAGAUAUCUACCUUUUCGGAACCAUGAUAACAGGUAUUAUGCUGAUUGGAUUAUGCUUUGCCCUGGGUUAUCGAAAAAUUCUUAAAACGGGAACAGCUGUCCAAAGCCUCACAAAGCUUCCCGUUUUGACGGAGGCCGUGGGAAGAGCGGUCAGCACUGAGACUGAGACUAUUAAUCGCAAUAUGGAUUACAUCUUGAAAAAGCUCACGGCUAUGGAAAGGAAAAUUGAUGAUUUUAGAGACCAGAAUGGACAAAGAGAGUAGCCGUGGAAUUGGAAUGCGGUUUACUCGCCUCAAGACGAAACAACUGCAAUCUUAUCUUUUCGGCCCCCCUUGAACCAGGAUUGGCCUUGGCCGAGGCGAUACUGGAGAAACAACCCUGAAGGGCAAUGUGGCGAGACGCUCUUGCGUUCCCUCCCCCAUCAUACACCCACACACAGACUUUUGGACCUUAUCGCUCAUACAGACACACACACAAACACUGACUCUGACCAAUUCCAAACCUCCGUAGCUUUGACCCGCCAGCUUGGCAAGCGGGUCUGUGUUAAGCGCCGUAAUGGCUGCAGGACCGGAUGGCUGCUUGCCUGAGCUGGAUUAUCUUACCCUGUUGCAAGUCUUGUCUAUGGUGUAUUAUGUGUAUCUGUUUUUCUCUCCACUUCCCUCAUGUUUGCUGUAUUCUUCUUCUUAAAUCCAUUUCGUUACACUGUACUUGUUAUAUGUGUAAUGACAAUAAAUUGAAUCCAAUCCAAUCCAAAGACAUUAUAUAAUGAGAUUUUUAAAAAAUGAUCGAACAGAUCCUCUCGUCUAAUGUCAGUGUCUAAGUCAGAAGUUGAUCUGAAAAACAGUUUUUUUAGCGCUAAGUGACGGUGAUUCUGGAAGUCGACCUCUACUGAGUGUCUGAAUCUAAAAAAGUUUUGUAACAAUCGAAACAAAAAGUCACUUUUGGUUCAAGCUGCAAUCCGUACCUGAGGUUCGUUGCUGUGAUU